rnacentral:rRNA from 1 species
AUACGGAGGGGACAAGCGUUAUUCGGAAUCACUGGGCGUAAAGGACGCGUAGGCGGGUUAUUAAGUCGGGUGUGAAAUCCAAUGGCUCAACCAUUGAACUGCAUUCGAAACUGAUAACCUAGAGUAUGGAAGGGGCAGGUGGAAUUAGUGGUGUAGGCGUAAAAUCCGUAGAUAUCACUAGGAAUACCGAAAGCGAAGGCGAUCUGCUGGGACAUUACUGACGCUGAGGCGUGAAAGCGUGGGGAGCAAACAGGAUUAGAAACCCCAGUAGUCC